CUUCCAAUGCUCCUUGUCCAUAAGCUGAGCACCUUCCACCCGGUAGUCCUCCAUUAGCACCAUGUCACCUCCUCCUAACUGCAGCUGUGCUCUCAAAGGCUGUGGCAUGGCAAACUUGUGAAAGAACCUCAUCACAAGGAUUACUGUCCUAUUAUUGUUGUUGUUAUUGUUUUUAUUACUAUAUCUCCAGUCCAGUGUUGCAUCUGAAAUGAAAUGCUCAGGAAGAUGAAUGAACAGCCCUUGCAAUAAAUAGAUACAGAGACUUCUCCAAGAGGUGGUUCCCAGGUGGAUCCUUGAGAUCUGAUUGCAGUGUUUGUGUUACGCCUCCCACUGGCGUGCUGACCUGCCCUGAGAGAAGUCUCUGCUGCAGGAUCAAAGUGAGAAGGAAUUUGCUUCACCUCAGAGUAAAUGCUUUUCCUAGAAGAGUUAUUUGGAGCACAUUUGCAAUGUAUUGCAAAAGAAUUCACACUUUGAGAAGGAGAUUCAGUCUUUCUAGGCCUACACAGGAUAGAUUCUGUCCUGGCUGCUGCUUUGGGGAAAGUCUUUUGUUUAAAGGACAUCUCUGCAAAUCAAGAAAUGAGAGUUUUGUCAUCAGCUGUGUCAGUGACCAAAGAAGAAGUCAUUUUGUCCAGACACUUGAAGACUUACUUGAAGGAAAACCAUGA
rnacentral:lncRNA from 1 species